rnacentral:tRNA from 1 species
GGGCCUGUAGUGUUAAUGGCAGCAUACUACUCUUGACAGGUAGCGGAACGGGUUCGAAACCCGUCAGGUCAA